UAUGGUAUGUAGCAACGUACCUCACUACUGGGUGCUUGGGAGGUACGGAUGGGUCCAUGGGGCUGAAAUAACAAAACAAAGCAUUUCAGAGCAAGAUAAAUAGAAACGAAGGUUAAUUAAGUGCUUGUUACUCGUCUACGAUGGUCAUACUUGUUGUCAAUGGUACAAAAAUACGUCCACGUAUUUCCUGUCUCAAAUGUUCCAGCAUCUACAGUUCGAACUAAAGCUAAUUGCACGCAACGCUUUUAACAAAAACAAUACAUCGUACAACGCACACGUACAAUAAUUUAAUUGCUUUUGAAUAGAGGAUUCAGAAAUAAAUUGAUACAACACAUGUAUAAGGCAGUUUUAACAUAUUUAUUAAUAUGAAAUUAUUACUAUUAUUGCUUCUUAAAAUUAUUUUAAAUAAUAUUUCUAUUCACUUUCUAUUAGCUAUUUACUGCCCUCCGUAUCGUAAAGAUCUAAAGUAAUCGUCUUUCAGAUAGAUCCAUGAAAAUGAUCGGUUCUCGGUCAAAGAUCCAUCGACGAAAGGGGGGGAAAAAUGAAGAAAAAAGAAAAAAAGAGAAAAGAAAAAUGCCAGACGUUUAAACAGUUGGAUAGGAGCUGGAGUGCAGCAAAGAGCAUUUAAUAUCAUUUACAGGUGUGCUAUAUUCGUAAAUCUUGCGUAUAAAAUCUUGCGUUGUUGGUGUCAUUUCUCUUUUCCUUUAUCCCUCCUAUCUUUAUACGUAUUACAAUAUACACGACAAGUUCCAGAUGCUUAAAUUCCAUUUCCUGUAUCUUUCUCCCGUGCGUGUAAACUAGCGAUCUACUUGGGGAUCUCGGGAAUGCGUUAUCAAUUUUUCUUUUCCAUCGCCGGAAUCUAAGGAAUUUUUCAAUGGAACCCAACGUUUUCUUUCGAUUCUAUACGAACGCGCGUCGUAUGACAUCGAAGAUUACCAAGUUAGAUAGAGUAACUAUAAUAAUAGAAUAAUAAUUGAUUGAUCACGAUGAACUGUCUUUUUUUUUGAUUUAAGAAAAACGUUGGAAUUAACGCGCGAAAAGAUACUUUUCUAUACCAGAGCAAGCAACCUCGUUCGAUCGACGAAAACUCGUGACAAAACAAAAAGACUUUCGUCAGUUUUAAUCGUUAAAUUCACCCAAGGCCUUUCUUCGUUCAUUCUUUCGCUCGUUCGCUCGAUCAGGCACCCACUUUCGUCACAUGAUCCUUUUCUUUCUUCACUUACACCACAACGUAUUACAAAUCUUUAUUCUACUUUCGUAUUCUCUCUUUUGUAAAUAAUGGUAGUUAUUGUAUCUCGUUCGGUAUGUACAUAUUACGCAUUUUCAUCGGACCGUGUGAAAUUUGUAUCGAUGCUUGAAAAACUAGUGCAUAGGGUUUCGUAUUCGUUUCGUCGUUCUCUUUUUCUCUUUUUUCUUUCCUUUUUCUCAUUUAUUUUUUUUUUUUAAUAGUAAAAAUACGCAUGAAGUGUAUAACAUCGAAAAGAGGAAGGCACGCAGUUUCGACAAUGAUCUGUUUUACGCAAUAUUCGAGACCAUUUAGACGAUCGAUUACCUGACAAUUAUCUGACAAAGAGGACGCUUGUAUUUAAAUAUAGGAUACUGUUUGCUCCGUUCUUGUAGUUUGCUUACGUAUCUCUCGUACAAGUUAUAAAACAAAUAGGUAUUCGCAAAAAUAUGACAUCGAUCGUAGUGGAAAAACGACUUCGAGGUUUACGAGUUCGUGUUAUAGGACGUGAAACAUUGUUGCGUUAAAAAAAGGACGUUUGAAGAAUAGGUAAUUUUCCGUUAAAUCGCGAUUAUCAUAAAAAAUAAAUUGUAUAUGAUUUUACUAAAUUAACUAACUAGCAUACUACAUCGAUCGCGAUAGGAUAAUAUCGCAUAUAAAAAUAUGGAACAAACCGUUCGAGUCUUGUUCGUUUUAAAUCUUCGACGUUUUCUUUUUUUUUCCCCUUUCUUUUCUUUUAACAAAAGUCGCGUUUCUGUUGGACAGCAGAGAUAACCCAUUGUUUUAAAACUUGACCUUUUCUUUGUUCUUUCACUUUUGCCACGCACUUGCUUAGUAUUGAGAUCAAUUACGAAUCGUAUUGCUUUAAUGCGAAAGAAAUGGAAAGCCUGAUGUCGCUUUGCUGAUUUUCUCCUCUCUCUCUCUUUUCAUUUUCCUCGUCCGUUUGUUAUCGUAAUUAUUACUAUUAAUAGUUCUUUGCUAAAUAAACUGUUUAGCGGUAGGAAGAAAAUGCAUAUCCGCGCAACGGAAUAGUUUGCUGUUCGUUUACACAACUCGAACUCGAGAAUUGAGCUGCAAUUCGAAAUUCGAAGGUGUCCGAAGGAAAUCUGAAUUUCCAGGAUAAAUACGUCGAUGAGCAACGGAUGAUUGCCGUUUCGAUACGGCGAGUAUAGUUUAAAAAAAAAAAAA
rnacentral:lncRNA from 1 species